rnacentral:misc_RNA from 1 species
AACGCAUAUUGCGCCCUUUGGUAUUCCGAAGGGCAUGCCUGUUCGAGCGUCAUUAUCACCCCUCAAGCCCCCUCGGCUUGGUGUUGGACGGUUUGGUUUUGGUGACAAGACCCCUCCUAAAAUCAACGACGGCGGCCUGUUCGACCCCCGGUACACUGAGCUUCUUAACUGAGCACGUAUCGGCCUAAGGGUGGGCAGGAGCCGGUUCUCUUCCUUCACCGGAAAACUUUCUUCCAUGGUUGACCUCGGAUCAGGUAGGGAUACCCGCUGAACUUAA